UUAGCUCAGCUGGGAGAGCAUCUGCCUUACAAGCAGAGGGUCAUAGGUUCGAGCCCUAUAGGCCCCA
rnacentral:tRNA from 3 species